UUAAAAAUAAGUCACUAUUUAAAUAUAAAUUAAAUUUUUCAGAUGUGACAUUGGACGAUUUUGCCAACAGCAAAAUAUCGACGACUAGAGUCAGAAAACCGACCACAAACUUUUUGGCUAGAGAAGUGAAGAAUUUAAAAUCGGUUGAUAAAUUGUGGUACGAAAAGGAUCUGGAAGAAUUUGACGAUGAUUUUGAUGCAAACAAUGAUAAAGUAGAAUCGGUUGAUGUUUCAUGUGAUAAAAAAAAAGGUACAAAGAAGAAAGA